CUGGUGGGAACGGAAGCUCCGCGCACGCAGGCCAGCAACGACUAGCAACCCUGCUGAACGAAAGUAAAGAGAAUUCCUAGAGGAAAAGUGGCCAUGGACCUGAUUCCAAGCUUUUCCACAGAAACCUGCCUUCUCCUGGCUACCAGCCUUGUGCUGUUCUAUCUAUAUGGGACCUCCACACAUGGACUUUUUAAGAAGCUGGGAAUUCCUGGGACAACACCUCUGCCUUUUUUGGGAACUGUUCAUGGUUACCAAAAUGGUUUUUGUGAUUUUGAUGAGAAAUGUUUUAGAAAGUAUGGAAGAAUGUGGGGGUUUUAUGUUGGGUAACAGCUUGUGUUGGCUAUCACGGAUCCGGACAUGAUCAAAACAGUACUAGUGAAAGAAUGUUAUUCUGUCUUCGCAAACCAGCGGUCUUUUGGUCCAGUGGGAUUUAUGAAAAAUGCCAUCUCUAUGUCUGAAGAUGAACAAUGGAAGAGAAUACGAACAUUGCUGUCUCCAAUUUUCACCAGUGGAAAGCUCAAGGAGAUGUUCCCCAUCAUUGGCCAGUAUGGAGAUGUGUUGGUGAGGAACCUGAGGAAGGAGGCAGAGAAAGGCAAACCUAUCAACUUGAAAGACAUCUUUGGAGCCUACAGCAUGGAUGUGAUUACCAGCACAUCAUUUGGAGUGAACAUUGAUUCCCUCAACAACCCAUGAGAUCCCUUCAUGGAAAAUGCCAAAAAGCUCUUAAAAUUUGAUUUCCCUGAUCCAUUUGUAUUCUCCAUAAGUACGUACACUAGCGUUUUUUUCUUUUUCUCCUCCCUUCUUUUUUUCUUCCCUUCCUUCCUUUCUCCCUCACUUCCUCGCAGAGGGAGAAGCAGGCUCCCCACUGAGCAAGGACACCGAGUGGAUUUUCUCCAACUGAUGAAUAACUCCCAGAAUUCCAAAGAAAUGAAUGCCCACAAAGCUCUGUCUGAUCUGGAGCUUGUGGCCCAAUCUAUUAUCUUUAUUUUUGCUGGCUACAAGACCACUAGUACUUCUCUUUCCCUCCUUAUGUAUGAAUUGGCCACUCACCCUGAUGUCCAACAGAAACUGCAGAAGAAGAUUGAUACAACGUUGAAGGAGUACAACAUACUCCUUCAAGCACUGCCCACUUACGAUGCCCUUGUACAGAUGGAGUAUCUGGACAUAGUGUUGAAUGAAAGUCUCAGAUUAUACCCAGUCGCUGAUAGACUUGAGAGGGUCUGUAAGAAAGAUGUGGAAAUCAGUGGUGUGUUCAUUCCCAAAGGGACAGUGGUGAUGGUGCCGGUCUUUACUCUUCACCGAGACCUGGAUCUCUGGCCAGGGCCUGAGGAGUUCCGUCCUGAAAGGUUCAGUAAGAAGAACAAGGACAACAUAAAUCCUUAUACAUACCUGCCUUUUGGAACUGGACCACGAAAUUGCCUUGGGAUGAGGUUUGCGAUCAUGAACAUGAAACUUGCCCUGGUCAGAGUCCUUGCAGAACUUCUCCUUCAAACCUUGUAAAGAAACACAGAUCCCCCUGAAAUUAAGUGCUCAAGGGUUAAUUUGACCAGAAAAAACCAUUGUUCUCAAGGUUGAGCCAAGAGAUGGGAAUGUGAGUGGAGCCUGA